rnacentral:rRNA from 1 species
AUCUUGUACUGAAUACAUAGGUGCAAGAGGCGAACCAGGGGAACUGAAACAUCUAAGUACCCUGAGGAAAAGAAAUCAACCGAGAUUCCCUUAGUAGUGGCGAGCGAACGGGGACUAGCCCUUAAGUGGCUUUGAGAUUAGCGGAACGCUCUGGAAAGUGCGGCCAUAGUGGGUGAUAGCCCUGUACGCGAAAAUCUCUUAGUCAUGAAAUCGAGUAGGACGGAGCACGAGAAACUUUGUCUGAAUAUGGGGGGACCAUCCUCCAAGGCUAAAUACUACUGACUGACCGAUAGUGAACUAGUACCGUGAGGGAAAGGCGAAAAGAACCCCG